GACGAACGCUGGCGGCAUGCCUAAUACAUGCAAGUCGAGCGAACAGAUGAAGUGCUUGCACUUCUGACGUUAGCGGCGAACGGGUGAGUAACAUGUAAGGAAUCUACCUAUAAGCGGAGGAUAACAUUCGGAAACGGGUGCUAAUACCGCAUAAUAUCUUCUUCCGCAUGGAAGAAGAUUGAAAGACGGCUCUGCUGUCACUUAUAGAUGACCUUGCGGUGCAUUAGUUAGUUGGUGGGGUAAUGGCCUACCAAGACGAUGAUGCAUAGCCGACCUGAGAGGGUGACCGGCCACAUUGGGACUGAGACACGGCCCAAACUCCUACGGGAGGCAGCAGUAGGGAAUCUUCCGCAAUGGGCGAAAGCCUGACGGAGCAAUGCCGCGUGAGUGAAGAAGGCCUUCGGGUCGUAAAACUCUGUUAUAAGAGAAGAACAAAUUGUAGAGUAACUGCUACAGUCUUGACGGUAUCUUAUCAGAAAGCCACGGCUAACUACGUGCCAGCAGCCGCAGUAA
rnacentral:rRNA from 1 species